rnacentral:rRNA from 1 species
UACGGGGGGGGCAAGCGUUGUUCGGAAUUACUGGGCGUAAAGGGCUCGUAGGCGGCCAACUAAGUCAGACGUGAAAUCCCUCGGCUUAACCGGGGAACUGCGUCUGAUACUGGAUGGCUUGAGUUUGGGAGAGGGAUGCGGAAUUCCAGGUGUAGCGGUGAAAUGCGUAGAUAUCUGGAGGAACACCGGUGGCGAAGGCGGCAUCCUGGACCAACACUGACGCUGAGUGAGCGAAAGCCAGGGGAGGCAAACGGG